rnacentral:rRNA from 1 species
CUUUUGAGUACCUUCGUUUCCUCGGCGGGUUCGCCCGCCGAUUGGACAAUUUAAACCAUUUGCAGUUGCAAUCAGCGUCUGAAAAAACAUAAUAGUUACAACUUUCAACAACGGAUCUCUUGGUUCUGGCAUCGAUGAAGAACGCAGCGAAAUGCGAUAAGUAGUGUGAAUUGCAGAAUUCAGUGAAUCAUCGAAUCUUUGAACGCACAUUGCGCCCCUUGGUAUUCCAUGGGGCAUGCCUGUUCGAGCGUCAUUUGUACCUUCAAGCUCUGCUUGGUGUUGGGUGUUUGUCUCGCCUCUGCGCGUAGACUCGCCUCAAAACAAUUGGCAGCCGGCGUAUUGAUUUCGGAGCGCAGUACAUCUCGCGCUUUGCAUUCAGAACGACGACGUCCAAAAGUACAUUUUUACACUCUUGACCUCGGAUCAGGUAGGGAUACCCGCUGAACUUAAGCAUAUCAAUAAGCGGAGGA